CUUCACAUGCAUGCAGUCACUGGCAUCAGAUCAAUGGCUGUUUCUUCCCUCCCUUCCUCCUUUCUGUUUGUAUUCUUAUUGUUAUUAUGUAGUCUCCUUUCAGUCUGCAUGGUUUCUUCUUCUACUGUAGUUUCAGUAGAGGAGGAGGAACCGGAGAGCUUUAUCGUUUUCAUGAUGAAAUCUGAGAAACCCAGGGCUUUCUCCACCCAUCAUCACUGGUAUUCAUCCAUCAUUCGUACACUUUCCCCUCUCUCUAACCAUUCAUCUGAGCUGUUGUACACCUAUGAACGUGUUGCCCAUGGUUUUUCUGCACGCCUCACGCCCUCCCAAGCGUCUCAACUGCGAAAUGUUCCCGGCGUGAUCUCUGUCCUUCCGGAUCACCUCCACCAGCUCCAGACCACUUUGUCCCCUCAAUUCUUAGGCUUAAGUGACAGUGACCCGUCUGGUCUCUGGCGCGUCUCUGAUUACGGAGCUGAUAUUAUAGUGGGUGUUCUGGACACCGGAAUCUGGCCGGAAAGGCCUAGCUUCUCCGGCCAGGGUCUAUCUCCCAGGCCUCCUAGUUGGAUGAGCAAGUGCCAGGUGGGUUCAGAUUUUCCGGCGACUUCGUGCAAUAAUAAAAUCAUUGGUGCUCGUUCUUAUUACACCGGUUACCAAGCUGCUACUAGAACUAGAACUAGAAAGCAGCAGCGAAUAGACGAUGAAGUAUCGGCGGAAACGUCAUCACCCAGAGAUAACAACGGGCAUGGCACACAUGUUGCCUCUAUUGCAGCUGGAUCUGCUGUUGCGAACGCUAACCUUUUCGGAUACGCACAGGGAGAAGCCAGAGGCAUAGCCACAAAGGCCAGAAUUGCAGUUUACAAAGUUUGCUAUCGAGGCGGCUGUGCCGAUUCCGAUAUUCUUGCUGGGAUGGAUCAAGCUGUUAAAGACGGUGUGGACGUUCUUUCGCUUUCGAUUGGUGGUCCAGAUGGCGGCGCUUCCGGCGCCGCUAGGGAUUACAGUCAGGAUCCCCUUGCAAUUGGAGCUUUUGGUGCGGUGGAAUAUGGUGUGAACGUCGUCUGCGCUGCUGGAAAUUAUGGCCCCCGUCCAUACACUGCUAGGAACAUCGCUCCAUGGAUUUUGACGGUUGGUGCUUCCACCAUUAAUAGGGAAUUCCCGGCUGUGGUGAUCCUUGGGGAUGGCCGGACCUUCACCGGCACCUCCUUGUACUCCGGCGCACCACCAAGCCCAAACCUAGUUUCAGUGGUCUACGGCGCCGACGCCAACAGCGUUGACUGUGUUUCCAGACAACUCGACGCUUCAAAAGUCACUGGCAAAAUCGUGUUUUGUGAGCAAGGAGGCGGUAUUGUUGAUAAAGGACUUGCUGUAAAGCGGGCUGGAGGCGUAGGAAUGAUAGUUCCUAACCUGCCUUAUGAAGGCUACGAGCUUGUCGCCAAUGCUGAUCUGAUUCCCACCUCAGUCGUAACCGCACCGGACGGAGAAAUAAUCAGGAAUUAUGUAAGGUCCACUUCUUUAUCGCCAACUGCUAGAUUUGAAUUCCGGGGAACAGUAAUCGGACCUUCUCCGUCGGCACCGCGUGUGGCGGCUAUGUCAGGGCGCGGCCCCAAUAUACGGACUCCUGAAAUUCUCAAACCGGAUGUGAUUGCACCGGGAAUUAACAUUCUAGCGGCUUGGACCGGCGCACGAGCCCCCUCCCAAAGCAGCGCUGAUGAUAGAAGAACGGAAUUCAAUAUUAUGUCCGGCACCUCCAUGGCAUGUCCUCAUGUUAGUGCAUUGGCCGCCAUGCUUCAAAAGCUCUAUCCACUAUGGAACCCAGGUGCCAUCAAGUCUGCACUCAUGACAACAGCCGUCACUCAGGAUAAUUCCGGGAAUGGUCUCAUAGAUCUUUCUACCGGACAACCAUCCGUGCCCUAUUUUCAUGGAUCUGGGCACGUUGAUCCAACCAGGGUAGCAGAUCCGGGUCUGGUUUAUGAUACCGGAAUUGAUGAUUAUGUGGAUUUUUUAUGUACCAUUGGGUAUGAUAGCCAGACAAUUGCGUUGUUCCUGCGGGAUGGUCCUCCGGUGGAUUGCAGCACGCGAAAUUUGGGUAACCCCGGCUCUCUAAAUUACCCUUCGUUUUCGGUUGUUUUAAAAAAUAAUCUCCUGACGGUAAAGUACAAGAGAACCGUUAAAAAUGUGGGAACGGUCAAAAAUGUUGUUUAUGUGGCACAAGGGAAUAUUUCUCCCCGAAAUGCGGUGAAUGUGAAUGUGUCACCAAAUAGGUUGGAGUUUAGUGAAGGAAACGAUAUAUUAUCUUAUGAGGUGACUUUUACAAGCGCUACACCAACUGAUGCGGGGGCAUACGGGUCAUUAGUCUGGAGCGAUGGGACACACAUUGUUAGUAGCCCAAUAGCUGUGAUGUGGCAAGGUGCCGCUUUGAAGUCUGAACUCUAAAUGUAUGGAUGAAUGUGCCUAGUUUGUUCCUACGUAGCCCAUGUAAUAAAAUAAAUUACUCCAUGGUGUAUAUAUCCAUAAAUAAAUGUAUGCAAUAAUGGGCUUAGUUCAUUAUAUUCCUAUGU